AACAAAAAGAAUAUCCUUAACUCGAGACUCAAACCAUUUUACAUCUUGUACUAUGCCAAAUGGCAAGGAAGGGGUAAAUGGAAAGAAGACAGACGAGCACGGUACAGGAAUACCUAAGAAAAAUUCUUAGAGUGUACUUUAAAUUGCCAAGGCCGGAUUUAGGCUCAAAUAACACUGAUAUUCUUGUUCUCUACUUUUCCAUUCCUGUGUUGUCAUUUUUGGAUCUUCAGAAAGAAUUACCUGCAAGGUUCCAAAUGAUCAGAUAGGACAGAAACACACCUCUCCUAAGGAACAGAAGAAAAAAGAAUGUCAAAGAGAGUUAUGUGAAACAGCUUUACGAUUUCAUUUGUCUUCCAGAUAAAGUGUAACAUAAAAUACUAGGCCUUGUUGAUAAAGAUUCUUUAAAACUCAUUUUUCUCCAAACUCAAAUUCAAUUACACAUACUCCCAAAUAAAUAAUUUUGCACCUGGACUGAGACUUUUUCUUACUUUUUAAUCACACGUUCUCCUAGAAAAUCACUUUUCACAAUCUGUUCUCAAAAAAUAUACAUCAAACAGGCUCUAGUUCUAGUUCAAUCUAGCAAGCCUAAUAUAGAACCAAGUGGCGAGAGCAUUUUUAAUUGUGAAAAUUGACCUUCCGACAGUAAAAUUUCUCAAGUUGACUUCUGAUCAACAUACACCUUUUUUGAACUUCUAAAUAAAGAAAAUGAUCCAGUGUAUAACCACCUGUCAUAGUAAAACGAUCAUCCUUUUCAAUUCAAUAGCAUUAUAUAAGUGAAAACUCUAAAAAGUUAAGGAACAAUAGAGCUUAAACAGUCAAUUGUAAACAAAAAAAAAAUAAUAAUCUCAGCUUCAUAAAAAAUUGAUUGAAUCUGUCAAAGAAAGCUGCAUACCAGGAAACAAGAGAGUUUGUAUGAAUUCGACAAAUAUGGGCAUCAAGCCAUCAAUUCCGUCUUUACCACCAAAAAUGGAUGCUUCUCCGGUUUUCACAUUAUAGGCCACACAACAGGGCAUUUUUUUUGUGCGUUCCGACUUCUUCAUUUUAAAGAUAAAGUGACUGUUGUCUAACCGACCAAUGGCCCAAAUAUCAUGACGCGGCAUUUUUAUCCUUUUACAUAGGUGUU
rnacentral:lncRNA from 1 species